rnacentral:rRNA from 1 species
UACGUAGGGGGCAAGCGUUGUCCGGAAUCAUUGGGCGUAAAGCGCGCGUAGGUGGCCCUGUAAGUCCGUUGUGAAAGUCAAAGGCUCAACCUUUGAAAGCCGAUGGAUACUGCAGGGCUAGAGUACGGAAGAGGCGAGUGGAAUUCCUGGUGUAGCGGUGGAAUGCGCAGAUAUCAGGAGGAACACCAAUAGCGAAGGCAGCUCGCUGGGACGUUACUGACACUGAGGCGCGAAAGCGUGGGGAGCAAACAGG